rnacentral:rRNA from 1 species
CCCCUAGAUGUUCUGGGCCGCACGCGUGCUACACUGAACAGUUCAACAAGUCUUAACCUUGGCCGAUAGGUCUGGGUAAUCUUUGAACGCUGUUCGUGAUUGGGAUAGACCUUUGCAAUUAUGGGUCUUCAACGAGGAAUUCCUAGUAAACGCAAGUCAUCAGCUUGCAUUGAUUACGUCCCUGCCCUUUGUACACACCGCCCGUCGCACCUACCGAUUGAAUGGUCCGGUGAAAUCUCGGGACGGCGGCUCGGUCGCUUGCGUCCGACUGCUGAAACUUGAUUAAACCAUAUCAUUUAGAGGAAGGUGAAGUCGUAACA